rnacentral:rRNA from 1 species
GCUUAACGCGAAGAACCUUACCAGGGCUUAAAUGUAGUGGGACAGGUCCAGAGAUGGGCCCUUCUUCGGACUCAUUACAAGGUGCUGCAUGGUUGUCGUCAGCUCGUGCCGUGAGGUGUCAGGUUAAGUCCUAUAACGAGCGCAACCCCUGUCGUUAGUUGCCAGCGAGUGAAGUCGGGAACUCUAACGAGACUGCCGGUGCAAACCGUGAGGAAGGUGGGGAUGACGUCAAAUCAUCACGGCCCUUACGUCCUGGGCUACACACGUGCUACAAUGGCCGGUACAGAGAGCAGCCACGCCGCAAGGCGGAGCGAAUCUACAAAACCGGUCACAGUUCGGAUCGGGGUCUGCAACUCGACCCCGUGAAGCUGGAAUCGCUAGUAAUCGCACAUCAGCCAUGGUGCGGUGAAUACGUUCCCCGGGUCUUGUACACACCG